CGUAGGGGCGAGCGUUAUCCGGAUUCAUUGGGCGUAAAGCGCUCGUAGGCGGUCCGUUAGGUCGGGAGUCAAAUCCGGGGGCUCAACCCCCGCACGCUCCCGAUACCGGCGGACUUGAGUUUGGUAGGGGAAGGCGGAAUUCCAAGUGUAGCGGUGGAAUGCGCAGAUAUUUGGAAGAACACCGGUGGCGAAGGCGGCCUUCUGGGCCACAACUGACGCUGAGGAGCGAAAGCUAGGGGAGCGAACAGGAUU
rnacentral:rRNA from 1 species